GUUUUUCUAAUGACAACAAAAAUGUAUGAAGAAGUAAAAGCAUUUUUAGAGUUUAUUGAUAAUAUUGGAGAAGAAAAUCGCCCGGGAAGUAUACAAAAGCGAUAUAUUCAAGAUAAAAAUAUAAUCUAAAAUACAAUGGAGUAUUACAAUAUUGAAGUUCAUCAGCGAAUCAGCGCAUUAACUUAAACAAUAAAGGUUUUAUGCUACUUAUAGGAAUAUAACCAGUUUUUAUGAGGACCCCGCUUUCCAAAAAUGUACAGGUACUAGAAGAGAAAUUAUGUGUAUUAUUGUUCAACAACAAGGUUAUCAAGUCAUUCAAUAUUUGAUCUAAGAGCAUUAAGAGUGAAAUUGUGAAAUGGAAAGAAGUGAAAUUCCAGGAUUAUUAAUAGGAAUAGAUGACAGUAGUGGGUAUGCAUGCAGACACUAUCUACUUACCCCAGUAUUACACCCAGGUAAUGAUCAAGAAAAUAAGAUUUUUACCAUAGUACUCAUGUGAGAACAAGAAAUGUAGAAAAGCUAUUUGGAACCUGGAAAAGAGUUUCCUUGUCUUCAACAAGGUCUACAAACCAAAUUAUAUACAUGUCUUGCAAUAAUAUGUGCUACAGCAGUACCUUACAAUCUAGGUAAAUAAUGAUCUGGUGGUAAAUAGACAUGUUAAUGAUGUGGAACAAUUUCUAAAUUUUUGGUGACAUUUUUUUCAACAAUAUUUUGCAUGAGAAUACAUUAUUGAAUACCUACUCUUAUUGUGUUUGAUUUUUUUGUCUAUUAUUUCUCAAAAUAUCAUGAUCAUUGUUCGACAGCCCUUUUUGUUUGAGUUUUGGUCUCUUGAGGAAUACAGCUCCAUUCCAAUCUAUUUCAGGAUUUGUUCUUGCAAUUUUUUAUUUUUAAAAUAUCAAUGUCUUAUUCUGUUUGUUCCUUAUAUAUAAUCUAUAGUCUUUCUCUCGUUAUAUGUCCAGCUGACAUUUGUGUGUUUAUUUUGGAAAGUAUUUCAUAUGCUUCCAUCCUUCCUCUUAGAACGUGGUCCUAUUUUGAUGAAUGCAUAUGGAUCGUGGUAUGCCCUGUAUAGUUCAAAAUUAUAUUUCAUAUGCUUCUAUCCUUCCUCUUAGAACGUGGUCCUAUUUUGAUGAAUGUAUAUGGAUCGUGGUAUGCCCUGUAUAGUUCAAAAUUAUAUUUCAUAUGCUUCCAUCUUUCCUCUUAGAACGUGGUCCUAUUUUGAUGAAUGUAUAUGAAUCGUGGUAUGCCCUGUAUAGUUCAAAAUUAUAUCUUCUCUGGUCUUCAUAUUUUAGAUGCUAUUUAGCCUGAUUCUAGUGCUUUAUCGUUGUUUCCAGUGCUUUAUCAAUUUAUCAUCAUUUAUUUUACCUACAGUAGGAAAAAUGAAAGAAUACCCAUGAACGAACGUAUAAAACACGCUGUAUUUUCCUGUCACCUUGUCACACAAAAAAUUGGCCAGUGCAAGUACAUGUAAUAUUUAUUGUUUCAUAUACUUGCACUGGACAAUUUUAGUUGUGAGACGGUUACAGGAAAAUACAGCGUGUUUUAUAUGUUCGUUCAUGGGUAUUCUUUCAUUUUUCCGACUGUACCUGUCUACUGCUACUCUACUAUUGUACUUUCACCAUAUAUUUUUGGAAUAUAAAUAUACCUUCUGUCUUUCUCUUGUUCAACUGGAAUUUGUUUAUUUAUUCUGAGAAUACAUUAUUGAAUCUGUAUUAUGUUAGAUAUAUUAUUUUUUAUUUUAUUUCUUAAUAUGUAUUUUUUAUAUUUUAUUUUAAAAUAAAUGAGUAUGAGUUUCCCUCUUCUUAAAUAA
rnacentral:lncRNA from 1 species